rnacentral:lncRNA from 1 species
UUUAUGUGCCGCAAUCACCAGCUAACAUGCUACCUGCAUCUCGCUAGCUCUAACAAUUUCCUACUUCAAGAAAACUUUGUCUUUCUGAUAUUUAAACUUCUGUAUCUCUCUUUCCUCUCAUGGCUCCCAAGAAUACUGUCACUGAUGCAUCCACUAAAAAAGUUAUGAGCAAAGGAGCAUGGACGGCUGAGGAAGAUAACAAACUAGCUC